ACUCAAAGGAAUAGACGGGGACCCGCACAAGCGGUGGAGCAUGUGGUUUAAUUCGAGGCAACGCGAAGAACCUUACCAGGCCUUGACAUGGGUAGUAUGGGGUAGAGAAAUUUACUCCUUCAGUUCGGCUGGCUACCACACAGGUGCUGCAUGGCUGUCGUCAGCUCGUGUCGUGAGAUGUUGGGUUAAGUCCCGCAACGAGCGCAACCCUCACUCUUAGUUGCCAUCAUUCAGUUGGGCACUCUAAGAGAACUGCCGGUGACAAGCCGGAGGAAGGUGGGGAUGACGUCAAGUCUUCAUGGCCCUUACGGCCUGGGCUACACACGUGCUACAAUGGCGACCACAGAGGGAUGCUAACCCGCAAGGGCAUGCUAACCCCUAAAAGUCGUCCCAGUUCGGAUUGCUCUCUGCAACUCGAGAGCAUGAAGUUGGAAUCGCUAGUAAUCGCGGAUCAGCACGCCGCGGUGAAUACGUUCCCGGGUCUUGUACACACCGCCCGU
rnacentral:rRNA from 1 species